ACUAAAUAGCGUUUGAUUGUGGCGCAGGAAGAAUGCUAGAUUAUUGGAUUAACACAUGCAAGUAUUUAUAUACUAUAUUUAAAUUGUAAAAAGGAUAAAUAUAGUGAUAAUGCGUACGGGUGAGUAAAACAUAGGAACCUAUCUUAUAAAGAAAGUAAUAGAAAAAAAUUAUCAAAUUGUAAAAAAUAGGAUAAUAAAGAAUAAAAAUAUAAGAGGGGCUUAUGACUUAUUAGUUAGUGGGUAGUAAAAAAGACUACGUAGACGAGGAUAAGUAGCUGAAAUGAAAGUUUGAUCAGCCACACUGAAAUUGAGAUACGGAUCAGAUUCGGUAAUUCGAAGCAGCAGUGAUGAAUAUUGUGCAAUGUUCGGAAGAGUGACACAGCCAAAUAAUCAUAUUUUUAUAUAAAUAAAAAUAAAUAAUAUAUGAAGAUAAUGACAUUAAUAUAUUAAAAGGGCCACCUAAUUCACGUGCCAGCAGGUGCGGUUAAACGUGAGGCUCAAGUAUUUUCCAAUAUAAUUAGGGGUGUAAAGGGUGUGUAGGCGGAUUUUAAAGUAUAAUUUUAAAUAAUUUUAAAUAAUAAAAUUAAGGAUUAUAUACUUAAUAUCUAGUAUUUAUUAGAGGAUUAUAGAAUGUCUAAUGUAGCGAUAGAAUGUGAAGAAAUUAGAAGGAACACCAAAAGGCGAAGGCAAUAAUCUGGAAUAAUAUAGACGUUGAAACACGAAAGCAUGGGGAGCAAACAUGAUUAGAUACCAUGGUAGUCCAUGCCGUAAACGAUGAAUGUUAAAAAAUAGUUGAUUUUUAUUAUUUUUGUAGAUAACUCGUUAAACAUUCCACCUGAAUACUACGGUCGCAAGACUAAAAUUCAAACAAAUUAACUGUUAGAGAUAUCUUACUGGAGGAAUAUGUGGUUUAAUAUGACAAUCCGCGUGAAACCUUACCUAAUUUAGUAAUUUUAAUAAUUUUUAUUAUUAAUUUUUAUAAUUUUUAUUAUUAAUUUUAAUAAUUUUUAUUAUUAAUUUUUAUAAUUUUUAUUAUUAAUUUUUAUAAUUUUUAUUAUUAAUUUUUCAGAUACUGCAUGGCCGUCGUAAGUAAGUGUUUUGAAAUGUUUGGUUCAUUCCUUUAACUUACGUAACCUAUUUUUUAUUUUGCUAAUUUAAUUUUUUAUUAAAUGCACUAAUAAAAUACCGCUAUUGAUUAAAAUAGAGGAAGGUAUAGAUAACGCCAGGCCGUUAUGGUUCUUAUAAUUAGGGCUACACAUGUAUUACAAUGAAGUUAACAUAUAUUUAGUUAUAUUGCAAAAUUAUACUAAUAAUUAAAUAACUUCUAUUAUAUAACUAUGUUCGGAUUGAAGACUGAAAUUCGUCUUCAUUAAGCAGGAUUCAGCAGUAAUCAUGUAUCAUAAAAGGCAUGGUGAAUAGAGCAAUCUCUGAAGUAUACACUGUCUGUCACCGGGUAAAACACGGAGGUACCCAAAGUUUAUAUCAAAUAAAUUUUUUUCGAAAUUUUUAUUUUAUAUUUAUUAAGGACCAAAAGAGAUUUCCCGUAAGUCAUAGCAAGGUGGCGCUUCCGGAAGGAGGAGCCGGAUGAAAAGAAUA
rfam:Monosiga brevicollis mitochondrion, complete genome.